rnacentral:rRNA from 1 species
GAUGAACGCUGGCGGCGUGCCUAAUACAUGCAAGUCGAGCGAACGGACGAGACGCUUGCUUCUCUGAUGUUAGCGGCGGACGGGUGAGUAACACGUGGAUAACCUACCUAUAAGACUGGGAUAACUUCGGGAAACCGGAGCUAAUACCGGAUAAUAUUUUGAACCGCAUGGUUCAAAAGUGAAAGACGGUCUUGCUGUCACUUAUCGAUGGAUCCGGGCUGCUUUAGCUAGUUGGUAAGGUAACGGCUUACCAAGGCAACGAUGCCUAGCCGAACUGAUAGGGGGAUCGGCCACACUGGAACUUAGACACGGUCAAGAGUCCUACGGGAGGCAGCAGUAGGCAAUCUGCCGCAAUGGGCGAAAGCAUGACGGAGCAACGCCGCGUGAGUGAUGAAGGUCUUCGGAUCGUAAAACUCUGUUAUGAGGGAAGAACAGAUGUGUAAGUAACUGUGCACAGCUUGACGGUAACUAAUCAGAAAGCCACGGCUAACUACGUG